GAUGCUGGAUUUACUGUGCAGGUGGUCAGGCCCAUGGAGGGUUUGUUUCCAUGCAUCUUCUCAGCACACACUCUCCCGGGCUCUUGGCUGAGACCUGAGUCUGGUCCCCGGCUUUCUGCCCAGAGCAGAAAUCCCGCUUCCCUAAGACGCCAGGGAGCUCGCUGGAAAGCGGCCACAGUGCGAGCAGAUAUCCCACUCCAGCCCGGGAGGAACAGAACAGACCAAUGGAACAGAAUAGAGAACCUGGCUAAUGAGCAAAAUCCAAGCACUGCCCACCCCCAUUAGCUCCUACCGGAGUCACAGCUGUCACCGCCGCUUACGUGCAGUCCUGUAUCCUGGUGUUUCCCGAAGGCUGGCUUUUCCUCCCUGGAUCUGUAACUCGACAGUAUAAUAGCAGAAAACUUGGCGGGUUUGCCAGCCUGCCGGGGGGUUGCUGCAUCUGGGCAAAGCAGCCCCUUCACUCACUACCUAUGAUGGGAAGGAGCGUGGAGCCACCGAAGAGGGUGUCCGCUUGGCCUGAGCUUGGCUGAAGCGAGCAGGAUACGUGGCCCAGGAGGCUGAUCCCAUUGGACUAGCCUGUCUGUGGCUUCCUGUUGGGGUCAAUGGAUGGGGAGCCCUCAAGGGGAUUCAGAGGGACAGAAGGUUGCAGGCUGUUGCAGCUGACGGAAUUUGCUGUUGGCAGAGACUGCCUGCUGCCAGACAAGGUUGUGUCUGUUCCACAAAAGCCCAGCUCCCUCUGCCAGGAGCUCUUGGCACCGGAGGUCACCAAGCCCGCUGUGGGGCCUACCUACGCCAUCAACAGUGAUGAUGUCUCAUGUAUGAAUAAUGCCUUGACAGAGCGUUUCUCAACUCCUUCCUGCAAAGAAGGGAUCAGAGAGUCUAGGGGGAAGGUAAGCGCCUGCCCAAGGCCACACGGUUGUGAGGGGGAAGGGCAGGAGUGAAAGCCAAGGUCAGGGUGGGAGCAGAGAUCAGGGCAGGACCAGCCAGCUCCGUGUGCUGUGGACUGAGAGGUUCAAAGGAAGUAGAAAUGUCAAUACAUGGGAAACAGGUGGACUGAAAAAUCGAUGGCAGUGCUGAAGGGUCUUAAGCAAUCAAUAUUUGUGUAGGAUGUGCGGAGAAGCAGCUGAGCUAACAUGAGCUUCAUCUGCUGAAGGUGCUGAUGAGCUAACGUGUGGAAUGCGGAGGACCGAGCAGUUCACAGGAGGGUGUGUAUCAGUUAGCAUGAAACUGCUGCGUAACAAAAUAGCCCCAGGCUCAGGGGCCUAAAGGUCAGCUGAUGGCCUAGUCUGGGCUUGGCCAGAGAAGCUGUUUUUUUUUCUCCAGAGACAGCAGGCCAGCCAGGCCUGUCCUGCUCCUGAUGCUGGCAGAAGCAUGAAAAGACAAAUGCAAAGGUGCAGACACUUGAGACCCAGACCCGGAGCUGGCUGAGAAUGCUCAGGCCCUCCUGGUGCUCUUGGGCAAACAGGGCCCACGGGGGACCCCGCAGGCAGGGGGUGGGGAAGUAGUCUUCACCCCUUCAGUGGGAGGAACUUCAGAGUCC
rnacentral:lncRNA from 1 species